rnacentral:tRNA from 1 species
GCUCCCGUAGUAUAGCUUGGAUAGUAUACGGCCCUCCGGAGGCUGUGACCAGGGUUCAAAUCCCUGCGGGAGCG